rnacentral:rRNA from 1 species
AGUCGUAACAAGGUCUCCGUAGGUGAACCUGCGGAGGGAUCAUUACCGAGCGAGGGCCUCGCGCCCGACCUCCAACCCUUUGAAGUGACCAACUCUGUUGCCUUGGGGGCGACCCGGCCCCCGUGCCGGGGCCCCCAACGGACCACACAAACCCUGCGUUUUCNCGUCGGAGUUUAAAGGAAAUCAAUUAAAACUUUCAACAACGGAUCUCUUGGUUCUAGCAUCGAUGAAGAACGCAGCGAAAUGCGAUAAGUAAUGUGAAUUGCAGAAUUCAGUGAAUCAUCGAAUCUUUGAACGCACAUUGCGCCCCUUGGUAUUCCGGGGGGCAUGCCCGUUCGAGCGUCAUGUAAAACCCUCAAGCCUGGCUUGGUAUUGGGUCCAGGGACCAUCCCGGACCUCAAAUGCGUUGGCUAUUGAUUAGUAAAUGGGAGUGCUGUAGCAGCCGCCGUAACCACUUACUGGCGCGAAGCUUGUACGACCUGCCUUACGCGUUCGCAUCGGUCACGCACCGAACACAAGUUUGACCUCGGAUCGGGUAGGAAUACCCGCUGAACUUAAGCAUAUCAAUAAGCGGAGGAAAAGAAACCAACAGGGAUUGCCCUAGUAACGGCGAGUGAAGCGGCAACAGCUCAAAUUUGAAAUCUGGCGUAAGCCCGAGUUGUAAUUUGGAGAGGAUGCCUUGGGGUAGCGGCCGGUCUAAGUUUCUUGGAACAGGACGUCGCAGAGGGUGAGAAUCCCGUACGCGACCGGCUGGCACCCCGCACGAGGCUCCUUCGAUGAGUCGAGUUGUUUGGGAAUGCAGCUCUAAACGGGAGGUAAAUUUCUUCUAAAGCUAAAUACCGGCUAGAGACCGAUAGCGCACAAGUAGAGUGAUCGAAAGAUGAAAAGCACUUUGGAAAGAGAGUUAAAAAGCACGUGAAAUUGUUGAAAGGGAAGCGCUUGCAACCAGACUUGUCGGCGGUGUUCCGCCGGUCUUUUGACCGGUCCACUCGCCGCCGACAGGCCAGCAUCGUCUGGGGCCGCCGGAUAAAGGCGUAGGGAAUGUAGCUCCCUCGGGAGUGUUAUAGCCCUUCGCACAAUACGGUGAGUCCCGGGCGAGGUCCGCGCUUCGGCAAGGAUGCUGGCGUAAUGGUCGUAAGCGGCC